UCCUGGCGACUAUAGCGAUUUGGAACCACCUGAUACCAUCUCGAACUCAGAAGUGAAACAUUUCCGCGCCAAUGAUAGUGUGAGGACUCCUC
rnacentral:rRNA from 1 species